UACAGAGGUCUCAAGCGUUGUCCGGAUUCAUUGGGCGUAAAGAGCGCGUAGGCGGCCCGGAAAGUGGGGUGUGAAAGCCCGGGGCUCAACCCCGGGUCGCCGUCGAGACUCCUCGGCUCGAGCACUGUAGAGGCAGAUGGAAUUCCUGGUGUAGCGGUGAAAUGCGCAGAUAUCAGGAGGAACACCGGUGGCGAAGGCGGGUCUCUGGGCCGUAACUGACGCUGAGGAGCGAAAGCAUGGGGAGCGAACAGG
rnacentral:rRNA from 1 species